rnacentral:snRNA from 1 species
GUGCUCGCUUCGGCAGCACAUAUACUAAAAUUGGAACGAUACAGAGAAGAUUAGCAUGGCCCCUAAAAAAAAAAAAAAUCGUUUUCAAUUCCCAUUUUUA